rnacentral:rRNA from 1 species
UACGGGGGGGGCAAGCGUUGUUCGGAAUUACUGGGCGUAAAGCGCGUGUAGGCGGCUAGGUAAGUCUGCUCUGAAAGCCCGGGGCUCAACCCCGGGAGGCGGGUGGAUACUGUCUAGCUCGAGUCCGGAAGAGGAGUGUGGAAUUCCUGGUGUAGCGGUGAAAUGCGCAGAUAUCAGGGGGAACACCAAUGGCGAAGGCAGCACUCUGGGACGUGACUGACGCUGAGACGCGAAAGCGUGGGGAGCAAACAGG